UACAAGUACGGUUGAGUUGGAAAGCAUUCGAUCGAGUCCUCAACUUUUCUGGUUUCUCGCGAUCAGGUCCUUAAAACUCUAUUGAAGAAGUGCCAAAAUCCAGUUCGGAGGACGGAGACGAAGAUCGAAUCGAUCGUGUCCGAUCGGCUCGAUCGCGCGUCGACGUCGGUGAUCGGUGCCGUCGCCGGAGCAUUUUGAUCGGAGCGGAGCCGAGCGAGGUCAUCUUCCGUGCGCGCGAGAUGAUGAUGAUGACUGGCUCGAAACUCGUCGAGCAACUCAGAGACUACCAUCUCCGGUCUCGCCGCAGUGGCCCUCGCCUCUCGCUCCCUUCCCUCCCAAACCCCCCACAUCACCACCCGUGCCGUUGGUCCCGUUGUUCCCAGUGCAUUAGAUGAUCGGCAUCGUUCGCGACGGUGAAAUAUUGACCUUUCCGGUGGUCCUUGGUAAGAGAUUGCUGAAGAGACGUAGGAUGAAAGAGCACCCUGAAUGAGCUCCACACUCGUGAAUUCCAAGAUGGAAAUGGUGUUUAGCAUGCUCGUCGGGCUGACGUAUCUGACGUUUCGUUGCGGUCAUUUCUGGCUGUCCUUGACUGCAUGCCUCGGAAACUUUCUACUUGUAUGCCUCCGAAAAUCGAGGCACGCUCUGGCCAGAAAAAAGGAGACAAGAUUACCUCUGUCCCAGUGAGCGUAGAUUAAGUAUUUUGACAUGAAACCUUCUAACUUGGUCAAGGAGUUUUGGUUACUCUCAAUCGACUUGAGCAAAUUGGCGAAUACGUCCUCGGUGCACAUAAUGUCAGAAACCCAGUUAUGAUCUGGAAAGGAAGAAGUACAAGCCUACCUUAUGCAAUCCCUUGGAAGCUGAGGAUGUGGAGAUGAUAGGAUGGCUCGAGAAAUCUUUGACAAUAAUUGGCUCAAGUAUUUGUGCCAGGUAGUUUUGAAUUAUUAUCCUAAGAAACUUCACCAAGGGGGCAGAUACUAUACCAGUAAGCCAUGUGCUGUUUGAAGGCUAAUGUUCUGCCAAGCCUUCUUAUGAAUGACUAAUCAAUGACACACACACAUGCUCACGGUGACAACUAGUCAUUCUAAGACCAAUUUCUAAUCCAUUAAUUUAUUUAUUAUUGGUUCAAAUGUCUCUUUUCCUUUGCUCCUCCUGCUGUUUGGUAGUCAGAGUUUGUAUGCCUGAGAGUAUGUUUGCUAUUUUUACCACUCUCUCUUCUGGAGAGACAAGUUUCACAUUCCGUUCUACUUUGGUCUUUUUACUGGUAAUGUUCUACUCUCAUGUUUCUGAGGCAAUGAUUGGACUAAUUCCUUUUGGAGACAGGUCCUUGCUAGCUGUACUUGGGAUUAUCAAUGCUUAAUCCACUUGAUACUUCUCUCCUUUGCAACAUCAUGUUUAUUCAGACUUGGAUCGGUUCACAAACUCUUUGGCGCUGUGUGCUACGCAUUCUUUUAUCGUUCUUAAAAAGGACGAAUUGCAUCAGUUUGGUCCAUCUCGUGCUGCCCUAGUACUACAGUUUUAUAGGGUUAUCGUUUCAAUCGAUUCGGUUAGUUCAUUUGAUUGCAGAAAAUUUUACAUGCUUUUCAACUAGAAAGAGUGGGUUUGAUUUGAUGGAUGUCAGUUGCAAAUAUUCACAAUCGUUGUAGAGGAGUUCGCUCACUAGGCAUACAUUGAAAAGCAAACCUUGGACCUGAAAUUUGUAAUCCAAUGAUGGAAGCAUCUUCUUUAAACUGGUGGAAUGUGCAGCUCUCAUCAUGUGAUUGUCCUGGAUCAAAUUAGACACCGGCUAGAAGUCAGAAGAGAAGCUACCUCAAUAGGAAGAAGAAGAGCAGAAGGGAGAAGAUAUCCCGAAGCCUUAAAGCGCUGUUUCAGCUCAGAGCAUUGAUUCCCCUGGAACCUCUAUUCCAUAAAGAAAGCAGGCAAACUCAAAGCAUUCGGUCUCCCAUUCUUUAGGUCAAGAUUUAGACUGCUAAGUUGUUUGUCAGUAUUUGAGUGACUUAAUGAUACCCUUGUAGCUUUAGACAGUUUUGCCUAUUGCCAGUCAUGUACAAUAUAGUCAAUGUUGCUGUGUUAUUGCAGCUUAAGCGUUGUGAUUUGCUUACUCCCCUAUCCUGGUCUUCUUUUGUAGCUGUUACGCGUUUAUCCAAUCACAUGGCCGUGCUGUCGUGUAACCGCUUGAAUUACCUUAGGAUUUUUGGUUAGUUUUUCAUGCAUGCUUUUGUUCCUAUGGCUAUAUUUUGGGCUAUAAUGUUUGCCAUAUUUGUGUCAUCAUCAGUGACAUUUAGGUGUUUCUGUCUAUUCUUUUCUAUUGCAUGCCUUGGAACCUUGCUACUUGUACAAGCUCACUCUCCAGUCACAGGAUUCUUUUUAUUCUAUUCAUCUUUAUGAGCUUUUAUUUUUUGUUUUUUUGAGCAAUUAACAGCUAAAGCUGAAGCCAAUUAAUUUGGCCUAGGUGUCGCUAUAGCAAGGAAGUUCAUUGGCUCACUGAUCAUCUCAUAUAGCCUAUCAGAGUUUGGUACACCCUGGUUUUCUCUUCAUUAUAGUACUUACCUCAGAAUAGUAUCAUAUAUCUAGUAAAGUCUACUGGGCAAUGUCCCGUUAUCUUUCAAUCAGUUUUGUGGGAACUUCGUGAGUAAGUACUCUGUUAAUAGAGUUGGCAUAACACUUACCAGCAAAGUUGUGUCUGGAGAUCCUGCCAAUUUGGAAGGCGUAACAUUUACCCUUUGCUAUUCGUCGAGGUAGAAGAGGACUGACAUGCAAGUUAAAAGCUGACUAAAGUUAUCCCCCAAUUAAGAAAAUCCGAUCCCCGUUGUCAGAUUUUAUCAUUUGUAGAGCAUUCUUUGCAUGCAAGGAAGCAAAAUAUUAGCUUGCACGGUAGCUUAGGUCGUGAAGAUGAUCAGUACUGAAGUCGCUAUGUGGGUAAUAAUAAUUAAUGUUGUGCAUUAUUGAUGUUGAAUAGCUUGCUAUGAGAUACAGAGAAGGUAAAAUCACACCAGUAGCUUGCCUUUUGAAGGUUAAUGUUGUUCUGGGCUUUUUGGUGGGUCUUUCAGUGAACUGCUGUACUGGCUGAAGGCAGCAUAUCCGUUCCUUAUCUGGGGAUAUAAGAGUUAGAUGCAGGCAGAGACACCGAGUCAUCGGAAGAUUGGCUUCCAGUAGCUUUUUAUUAGAUCUAUUAUCGGUCUCGAGUCAUUGGAGAGCUGUGUGUACUUGCUGUCGACAGUCGCUAUUCGUUCUUGGAUGUGCCUGUCAUAUUUAGUCUAUUUAUGUCGUAUAUUUGCUAAUAAUGAAUCUUUUUUCUUAUGUUAUUGAGGCAAAGUAUGGACCAACAUACAAAUAUCAACGAAUUCGGCGGUUUGAAGACCACAAAAAUUCCUCACUUCAUUAUGGUUCGCAGACCCCUCAGGCUGUCAUGAUCCCCUUCUGGACCAUUUCCUUCGUCUUCCUUUACAUAUCGUGCAAACAGCCGAGCUAUGAUCAGGGCAUAAAA